rnacentral:rRNA from 1 species
AAUGAACGUUGGCGGCGUGGAUUAGGCAUGCAAGUCGUGCGAUAUUCCCUCGCAAGGGGGAUGAAAGCGGCGAAAGGGAGAGUAACGCGUGGAUACCUACCCUGGGGACCGGGAUAGCCGUGGGAAACUGCGGGUAAUACCGGAUAACGUCUUCGGACCAAAGGUGUGAUUCCGCCCUGGGAUGGGUCCGCGUCCUAUUAGCUAGUUGGCAGGGUAAUGGCCUACCAAGGCGAUGAUGGGUACGGGGGGUGAGAGCAUGACCCCGCUCACUGGGACUGAGACACUGACCAGACACCUACGGGUGGCUGCAGUCGAGGAUCUUCGGGAAUGGGCGCAAGCCUGACCGAGCGACGCCGUGUGCGGGAUGAAGGCCUUCGGGUUGUAAACCGCUGUCAGAGGGGAGGAAGUACCGGGAAGUAAUACAUAAUCGACCCGGUUUGACCUAUCCUCAGAGAAAGUACGGGCUAAGUUCGUGCCAGCCGCCGCGGUAAAAC